UCAAAAUUUUUCUUCACGGGCUUUUCUUUUCCGAGAGAAAUUCUGUCACUGCACGGCACUCUGAACAAAGUCACGAGUGGUUGACAACUUUACUGAUAAAUAUGGGAGAAAAGAAAGGUUAUAGAGGCAAAAAUUGUCACAUUGUCACUCAGAUAGAUGUCCUAAUGCGAUGCCUAAAACGUUUUUGUUAGACAAGAGGAUCAGGGUAAGGCUCAAGACUUAUCAGCAUUCUAUUGUACAGAUCAAGGGAAUAACCAAACAAGCCCUGUGAAGUGCAGCAAAGUGCAGGAAGAUUCAUACAAUGGAAACUUGCCAUUUGCUUGAGAGUGACAUGGGCCUGCAAACCUACACCGGUCAUAUUUGCAUGCAUAUUACAUCUACAACAUAGUGCAGGUUCCUGCAAUAAACCUACGUCGUGUUUGCAUACAAGAUGCGAGGUAUAUUUCUACAAGCAUUAGUACCUCGCAUAGCACCAAAAGAAGUAAUGCUAGAUAGCAGCUUAGCAAGCUAGCUGGAAUAAAUCUAAGAAAAUUUCUUGGUUUUCAAGGCAGCUAAACUUUACAGCAAAAUUGGGCCCGAGUAGAACUAUCAGCGGCUGGGCCACGUUCCCCAACAUUUGUCUUUAUCGCUUAUAUUCGGGUUACUCAACAUGUGCUUUUUGAACUGUGGCGAGACUUGCUCAAGCAAGUCGUGAUUCGCUAGCAACCAAAAUCCGAGAUAAACAGGGAAACAGAACAUGCAAGGCAAGCAACAGUAGAGGUAAACGCUACAUCGAGUGCCAUAAAGAAGUAUGCAACAGCUCACUUACUCGCGCAUUAUCUGCAACGUACAAGUCUCACGAAGGAGGAAACGAAAUUGUUUCCCGAUCGAUGCCAACCUAAGCGGCAACGGCAGCAACAAGCGUUUAAAACGAGUUUAAACCUUUACACCAUCAGACAAAAAAGUGCUGCCUAGCUGGGAGCACACAUGCGCCUAAUUCACAACAGCAAAUUCAACAAACAAGAGCAACAGUACUGAAAAACGGAAUGCACAAGACCACGCGAUACCAACCAUAAACGCACUGCAAGGCGUAAAGAAACGAGCGGCUCCAGGGUUGCGCCCUUGUGUCGCUCGUGAUCGCAAGCUCGGACACGAUCCAGCUCUUCCAACGCAACUAGACAGAAGAAUAUUCUAGCACACAUUACACUAAGAAACCAUAAAAUUGAAGCAGCUCCAGCAGCAUGCACUGCAUCGCGCGCAAAAUUAUAAACCGGAACACGCCAUACUUGUUUAAACAACGUCACGAUCACGUGGCCACAACUCUGACGUCACUUCCGUGCGUGGCAGCAGCGCUCUCCACUUGGACUUCGCUGGUGCCACGCGCGGGUCAGCAGCUAUUGCCUAAAAAAUUUAGAGGAAUGGAAUGAUGGGAAAUAGGCCCUCACGUGAUAGGCAAGCGGUAGAUUUUACUCGGCUCGCUUCGGUGGCUUCGGUUUCGUCUGCUGCGGGGGUUUCGGAAUAUGCGCACAUACUCAGCGUGGCAAACGCGCGCCGAGGUUAGUGAAGGAAUUCGAGUGUGUGAAGCAGUUGAGUCUCGCCGCCUAAUUAGCAGACAGGCGCCAAGGCUGUUGCGAACGAAGGCGUCGGUUAACCGGCAUUGCGCCGAACAAGCCGGGAGGACUACCUCAAGGACGACUGGUUGCGUUUCGGUGUGGUUUCAGGGAAACGAGGGAACCUUUCGCCCUGCAAACGUGUGAAGGCAACCAAGCCGCCCUUCCGACGACGAUUCGUUGCGUUUGACGACGUCUUCUGGGAAACAAUGAUGCCUUUCGCCCCCGCAAAAUGUGCACGCGAUUAAGCGAGCGUACAGGGAUCCGAAGCGACUGUCCCUACGGGAAAAAAAUGCGUCCCGUCUUGUGCCCAAGGAUGGACUGGCGAGCCGGAGACUCCGAACAUAUUUAGGGCCGUGCCGGCCCGUAGCGCAGUCGACACUGUUGUUCGAGAUCUGCUCAAAGUCUUCGGCCUCUUAGCAGACCGGCGAGAACUCCCGUCAGCAGUAGGCGCACCUGCGUGAUGAAGUGUUUUGUGCCAGGAUGCCCUAAUCGAACAGAAAAUCGGCGCGAUGGCCUGUCCUUCCAUAGACGCUUGCAAAGGACGAUGCCACAGCAAUGAGUCAACCUUAAAGUGAAGCAGCUACAUCCACGGGUACAUAACAGCAUCAAGUUGAGCCAUCUCCCAGUCCAAGGCCCUCCAGGACGCUCAAGGGUGAAGCUUCUGCAGCACUGCCUGCACACAACCCAGCGACACCUCGAACAGCAAGGCAUACUAUGCCACAGCCAGCAGAAGACGCACCUGAAAAGGCCUUUCUGAGGCAUGAAGUAUGGCGUUACACAAUUACAAACUGCGACCAAGAAGAAGAUGAAGACUCUACGGCAAUCCCAUCAACACCUUUUUCAAAAGGUUGCUCAUCUCGAAAAUGUCAUAGAAGAUUUAUCUGACAAUCGCAUUCUAGGAAAUGAGGAUGUCGCCAUAUUGCAGAGUCUUGGUGGGGCAAAAAAAGACUUGCUCAUGCGUCAACUGCCACAUAAGUCUGGUGCCAGCAAUGUCACCCGCUUACUCGCCAGAGCUCAGGCCAUUUGCACUGACUUUGCAUUUUUAUUCCCCUAGAGCAUACAGAUAUGUACGAGCUGUUUUCAACACAUGCCUCCUGCAUCCAAAGACACUGUGUAAAUGAUAUCAAUCCAUUGAUAGGGCUGCUGACUUUUCAAAAGAGGCAAUGACUGCAUUGGCUAUCAAGGUAAAGCACGGCUCUCCACAUUAUGCAAUCUGGUUGUGGAUGAGAUGGCCAUUCAAAGAAGUAGUGUGGGAUGGGAUAAGCUUCCAUGGAUAUGUUGACAUGGGCAUUGAUGUCAAUGAUGACAGCUUUCCAGUUGCCUAAGAUGCAUUUGUUUUAAUGCUUGUUGCAAUCAAUGGCAGAUGGAAGCUGCCGAUUGGCUACUUUCUAGUGCAUGGCCUUGGUGGUGAGCAGAGGCGCAAUUUGGUGCUGCAAGCUGCUAGCUUCACUCACGAAAAAGGUGCACACAUUUUGAGUUUGACCUGCGAUGGCGCUGCAGCGAAUUUGUCAUUGCUGCACAGCCUUGGCUGCAAGAUGGACCUGACUGAGCUGGAUGCUUCUUUUCCACAUCCAGUGACAAAAAAAGCUUUUCUUUGCCAUGUUGGAUCCCUGUCACAUGUUGAAGCUACUGCGGCACACCCUGUUUGAUAAAAAGGCUAUUGUGAUACGAACAAACAGUUCAUAUUGUUGAAACACAUUGAUGAGCUGCAUGAAAUCCAGUACACAGAGGGCCUACAUUUGGCAAACAAACUUAGACAAGCACAUAUUACCUGGAAAAACCAGCCCAUGAAAGUCUCAUUGUUGGCUCAAACGUUUAGUCAAUCGGUAGCAGAUGCUCUUAGUGACUGCAGAGCUCAAAAAAAUUCAAAGUUUUCAAAUUCCUUGCCAACAGAAGAGUUUAUCAGACAUGUCAACAACGCAUUUGACAUUUUAAAUUCAAGACAUCCAAGGCAAGAAGAAUAGAAAGGACCGCUGUGUCCUGAAAAUGUGGCUCCUGUCACUGCGUAUGUCAAAGAACUUAUGGCCUACUUUUGCUCGCUUAGGGAGUCUGCAGCUGGUAAACUAAUGACAGGGACCACCCAAAAGACAGGCUUCAUUCGCUUUGUGGUGUGCUUAGACAACCGUCUAUACAACCACUUGGUUACAGAAAAUGACCUAUUGGCAUAUCUUUCGACUUCCAAGCUCAGUCAGGACCACCUUGAGUUACUUUUUUGCUGCAAUAAAAUCAUUUGGGGGCUGCAAUGACAACCCAACAGCAAAGCAGUUUGCAGCAGCAUUGAAGCGUCUGAUAGUUCGUAAUGAGGUCAAGGACAUUGAUGGCGGAAAUUGCUUUCUAUUGGAACACAUCGAAAUUCUCUUUGUACGCUCCUUUGAAAAAACCAUACUCCAUCGAUGUAAUUAACCUCACUGCCCCUCAGAGAAGCCCUGCAGCCAGUGAACCACUCACAGAAGCAAUUUUACAGGAUCAUGGUUACUCUGCUGACCCAGGCAAUGUGUCUGAGCUUGGGUGCCUGCGGCUCGCAGUACUGGAAGAAUUGCUACACAAGUUUUCUCGUGGGUGAAUUAUGUUCAUGAUGGCCCACACAAUUAAUUCCUUUAUCCAUCAACUUGAGCUGUCCCACCAGGUUUUAUGUUAAGGCAUUUAUUUGUUUUUUGAGUGACUUUGUAAAGUGCAUAUAUUGUUCAAGAGCGUUGUAUGCAGAUGUCAAACUUUUAUAGAGGGAAAAUGUGAUACCUUAUUGUAAAUUCUGCAAGUACAUGUUUGUUGUCUUGCUGAAUGCUGUAGCUUGAAUCGCCUGCAUGCAAAUUAUGCUUAAACAAUUGUUCUGUUCAGCCCAAGCUAAACAGUGUGGACAAUGACGGUAGGUUAGCUGGCCUACCUUUCACUAGAGCAAACUGUGUGAUGACAUGGACAUGCUGUGAAUGCUCUCAAUGGAUUAUGUGUGAGCUAGGUAUACGCUUGAGGAUGACAAUGUUUUUUUAAUGUUUAUCCUGUAUGUCUUUUACCUGACCUUUGUGGAAAUUUGCCACUGCCACCUGGAAUACCGUUGGUGUUACUAUUUAAAUAAUUUAAUGUGCUCACUCUGUUCACUUGCUUUACAAUAGCCUUUUAUGAUGCCAGAUUCACUGUAACCACAAACAUUUGGUGUAUACCACUCAAUGAGUGUUUUAAAUACCGUGAAAUAUUCAUUCAUUUGAGGUUCACAACGUAAUAGAGCCGUCGCGUCCUAAUUGUGGUGUGUUGGCUCAGCUUCGACGGUGCUAACUUUUUUGUAGGUAUGUGAUACAACAUAAGCUUUGUUGUAAAUUCUACUUGCAGCAAAAUGCAUUGUAUUUUAAUGUUGACAUACUUACUUUGUGGGUCUGACCUCACAUCAAUUGUUUCAACUUUGACUUUGUGAACUACCACUCUUUUUUUAAUUUCUGCAUAUGUAUUGCUUACUUUUCUGACAAGCACAAUCACCGAAGCCUUUCAAUAUUUGUGAGGACAGCGCAGAUGUAAAUAUUAUACAAUUAUAGCCCUGUAUUGAAGGCGUUGCAUACAAGGCAUUGUAAGCAAAACUGCAGCUACAUUCAAGGACAGCUGAUCCCAUUGACCAGUUUUAUUAAAGGUAUCAAUACUACGUGUGAUAUAGUUUACUUUGUAUAACAUUAUUAUACAAAUGCCCUGUGGCAUACAAGUAUGCUAAUACUGAUACCGAAGAGCAGGGGCACAAUAAGUUUUCCUACUUGCUGUUUAUAAUUUUCUUUUGUGUAUUAUCUUUGCAAUGUACUUCAUUUAAAUUGUAAAUGUGGCUUCCUUCUGUAUUUGUGUGAAAUCUUCUGGCUUCUAUAGGUGCAAUAAACACUGAAUAAAGAA